rnacentral:lncRNA from 1 species
UGCAGAUCUUAAACUGACUAAUAUUCAGCUUUUCUUGCAGCCGAUGGAGCAGGAUUCGUUCUUCAAAAUAAUUCAUCUGGUUCCCUAGACCUAAUCAGGAAAGGAUCAUGUCUAGACAACUCUAAAAUGCUGAAAGAGGGUCAAGACUUGCUGAACAACUCUCAAGCCUGUUUCUUCUAAACAGAGAAAGAUUGCUUGGAGAAACCUGAAGCUGAAAAUUGCUGGAAAUAGAAAAUUGAAAAAAAUAUCUUUGUAUGAAGGACCUGUACCACAUCACAAGCGUGUAUUCAAAGAUGUGU